rnacentral:lncRNA from 1 species
AGAAAUGUGCUAUUUUAGAGAUUUGCCCUAUUUAUAAUGUUAUUUGUCAACAAAAUGUUUGGUGUAAUCUAUUCUCGAGGUAUUCUCCUUAUACAAAUAUACUUUUACUAACAAAAUAUUCCAAAAAUAAUCUUCUCUUAUAAGCACAAGAAUAUCUGAGAAUUUAUCAUAGAAUAUUAUAUGUUAGCUUAUGAUGAAAGCUAAAUCAUUUAAAACGUCUUCUAAUUUACUAUAGAUAAAACAUCCGUAAUAAAAAAAAACGAAGCCACCAUUAACAUUUAUGUAGCUUUCGAUUUAGUAAAUUUCUUUAUUUU